rnacentral:rRNA from 1 species
UACGUAUGGUGCAAGCGUUGUCCGGAAUUACUGGGCGUAAAGAGUUCGUAGGCGGUUAGAUUAGUCAGAAGUGAAAGGCUACGGCUCAACCGUAGUAAGCUUUUGAAACUGUCUAACUUGAGUACUGGAGAGGAAAGCGGAAUUCCUAGUGUAGCGGUGAAAUGCGUAGAUAUUAGGAAGAACACCAGUGGCGAAGGCGGCUUUCUGGACAGUAACUGACGCUGAGGAACGAAAGCGUGGGGAGCGAACAGG